rnacentral:rRNA from 1 species
GGAUGAACGCUGGCGGCGUGCCUAAUACAUGCAAGUCGAGCGAACAGACGAGGAGCUUGCUCCUCUGACGUUAGCGGCGGACGGGUGAGUAACACGUGGAUAACCUACCUAUAAGACUGGGAUAACUUCGGGAAACCGGAGCUAAUACCGGAUAAUAUAUUGAACCGCAUGGUUCAAUAGUGAAAGACGGUUUUGCUGUCACUUAUAGAUGGAUCCGCGCCGCAUUAGCUAGUUGGUAAGGUAACGGCUUACCAAGGCGACGAUGCGUAGCCGACCUGAGAGGGGGAUCGGCCACACUGGAACUGAGACACGGUCCAGACUCCUACGGGAGGCAGCAGUAGGGAAUCUUCCGCAAUGGGCGAAAGCCUGACGGAGCAACGCCGCGUGAGUGAUGAAGGUCUUCGGAUCGUAAAACUCUGUUAUUAGGGAAGAACAAAUGUGUAAGUAACUAUGCACGUCUUGACGGUACCUAAUCAGAAAGCCACGGCUAACUACGUG